UUUUUUUUAAAUGCCAUUUAAAAAAUGGAAAACUAAUAAGUUUUCCUGGAAGAUAAUUGAGAAAACCUUUAAAAAAUAUGCUUUGCCUUUGACAUAUCAGCUUCCCACUUCCAGAAUUUUUAAAGCAGGCAUGUGCAAUGAAAGAUGAACCUAUAAGGGCACACAUAGAAUAUUUAUAAACAGUCUACUUUUAUAUAGCCACAAAGAAUCAUGAUAUAAAAGAAUAUCUAAUAAAAUAGAAGAAAAUUCACAAGACCGUGUUAAGUGAAGAAGGCAGAAUACAAUUUUGCAAGGCAUUAUCCCAAUUAUGCCAGCCACACUAUGCAGAGAGAAACACCGCAGGCAACAUACUAAUAUAUUAACUGUAAUUGACUCUAGGAGGUAAAACUGAGUUUUAUUUUCCUCUAUAUCCCAUUUAUGCAACAGAUUUUAAAAAGUGUUUUACGGCAAUUCAAAAAUUGCCUGUGUUGAAAAGCAUGAAAGUACAUGAAAUUGUACUACUCUGGAAACCCAAGGAAGUGUAUAGUUUGGAAAGCCAGGGCCACCUGCUAGUGGGUGAGUCAUGGGCACGGGCUCGCACCUGCCACACAGACGCCACACAGGCUGCUGCGCGUUUCCAAGCAAAUGCCCCACGUGCGCCAACGGCCACCUCGGACGUGGCUCCGCCUGGCCCGUAGCCAGAGGAAGUCCGGCAACUUCUGCUCUUUCUUAAUUUCUGGAAAAGAGGGAAGAGAGGCCUUUUCAAAGUUCGCAGGAUCGGGCCUUUUCGUGCUCCACUUUGGAAUAAAUCGGAAGCCAGGGACUUCCAGGAGCGCCGCCGCCGUCCCGGACCUGCAGCGCCCGAGAGCGACCUCACUGCGGCCCGGGUGAGCGGCCUGGGAAAGGCCCCGGGCACGACACUCCGGGAGCUGCUGGCGCCCUCUUUGAAGUCUCCCGACGGGCUCCGAGCCUCUCAUAAGCCAACGACUACCGACCAGCCCCGGUGACCAGAGGCCAGCCACGCGGUCGCCCGGGGACGCGCAUCCUCCGCAGGGACAAAGGGUCGGGAAACUUGAGCUCUGGCCAGUCCCCAGAGACCCGCGCUGAUGGUUGCCAUGGCAACUGAGUAGGGCCCUCUGAGGCCGGCCGCCCAGGCGCUGCAGCUGCGAAGGUGACCCGGCCCGCUCUGGAGGGGGGGCCAGCAACCGGGCCCUGGCCGCCCCGCCCCGCCCCGCCACCAGGCCGCGGCCGCGGGAGUCGGCGACUGACCCUCCGCAGCUCCUGUAGUCACGUGGCGCUGGGAACCCGGCGGGGGGAGGUUGGGGACGGGCCUGGCAGUUGUGAACUCGAACCUGCCGCUGUCGCCGCGGCGGGGCGAGGAGCGGGAGCGGGCCGCGGAAGCCGGCCUUCGGGCUCCAUGGACGGGCGCCGCGCCCCUGCACAGCCCGCAGCAGAGGUAAGGCUGGCCUCUCUGCAGUCAGAGGUCUGAGCUCUGCCAUGGGGGUAGGGGUGUCUUUAUUGCUGCAGUUUUCUCUGACACCUGGGGGCUACCGGAGUGUGGGCCGAAGCAGGCACUGCAGCCGCCGAAGUAUCCCCAGGAACAUCCCCAGGAGGAGCUGGAGAAAGCCUGAUCCCCAGCUCUGCAGUCUCCAGGGUAGAGUCUGGCCUUUGCUGUGCUCGCAAACCACUGCACAACUGGGGUGCACAGGCGUCCCCAUUCGGCGGAAGGAAAGGGCCCUUUCUCAUAUCCUGGGGGGGGUCUUCCCUAUGCACCGUCUGACACUGGGGAUGAGUGACCUCUGUGUUCCCUGAGAAGAGAGUGGGCUCUAGGGAAUUUAGAAGGAUGUGUCUGGAGCUGGUGAGCAGGCACAGAAGGGCCUUUAGGAGCCUAACAGCCGCCACAGCCUGCUUUCUGUGGAGGAGGCUUCUGUGCAGGAAUCUGGGCUCCCCUGAGCUGUGGAAGAGAUGAACAUGGGGCAGGACCAGGCAGGGGACUGAGAUUACAAUCUCUUCUUCCCUCCCGUUCUCUUGCCCCAGUAAUCUCUAGCACCCCAAGGGAGGCAGAAGCAGCGAUCAGGCCCUGAGGGCAGCAGGCUGUGGGUGUUCCUUGGAUUCAGGGAGAGCAUUCCUUCCUGCAGUGUCCUAAUUUGUGUGGGUUGAAGAGGGCAGGCGGGCAGAGUGUGGGCACAGUCUGGACAGGCAGUGGUCUGGCAUUAGACUGCUGGGAGUAGCACCCAGGGCCCCCCUCCUGUUCCCGGAGAAGGACUGUUCUUACUUGUCCUCCAGGCUCCCACUGAGACUGCAGAUAGAGACGCUGAAAGUGCCUCACCUGUGGGGCUGUGAAUGAAAGGCUCUAGAAACUUUUUUUUUUUUUUCCUGAGAUCUUUGCAAACCCAGGUGUUUUAGAGGAAAGAACACUGGCCUGGAGUUAGUAUGAGACCUGUUCCCUAGUCUUGGUUCUGCUGCUGGCUUACUGUGUCACCUUGGGCAGGUCUUGUCAUCUUUUGAUGCCUCACAGUUGCUUCAUCUGUGAAACAGGAAGCUCAGUGUCUGCUUGUCCAGCUUCACAGAGUUGCUGUGCAGCUCAGUGUGGCAUAGGAAAUAGCAGACACAGGGAGAGGACAGCAGGAACGCACUUGGAAAAGCAUAAGGCACUGUAGGGAGCAGUGGCAACGUUUUUCUGGUGAGUCCUGUGGCAGGAAUGUGUGUGCAUUCAGCACUGGAGCAUUUACUUUCUGUCCGACAUUGGGGUAGCUGCCAUGAGGGGGAGUCUAGUCUCAGAGUCUCUCCCUUCUGGAAGUUUCCAGGGCAAUAAAGACAUAAGACAAAUAUCCUUGAAAUGUUAUCUAAAAACCCAAGAUUGAAAUAAUACCUGUCACACAAAGAAGUAGGAGAGUAGUGUAGCUCCAUGCCCAGGGCUCUAGGGAUUCACAGAUGGCAGCUCCUGUCUAGGGCUGAGGUUGGGAGGGGAGGAAUGGGGCAGGAACCGGGCAGGGUGAGUUGGUCUCUGGAGUGACUGUGCUUUUCCGCCCUCAGCCGAGGAAGAACCGAUGCUGGAACGUCGUUGCAGGGGCCCCCUGGCCAUGGGCCUGGCCCAGCCCCGACUCCUUUCUGGCUCCUCCCAGGAGUCACCCCAGACCCUGGAGAAGGAGCCCCGCAGGCUGAGGCAACAAGGCAUAUCAGUGGCCCAGUCUGGUGCCCAAGCCCUGGGCAGGGCCCAUCGCUGUGCCCACUGUCGAAGGCACUUUCCUGGCUGGGUGGCUCUAUGGCUUCACGCCCGCCGGUGCCAGGCCCGGCUGCCCUUGCCCUGCCCUGAGUGUGGCCGUCGCUUCCGCCAUGCCCCCUUCUUAGCACUGCACCGCCAGGUCCAUGCUGCUGCCACCCCAGACCUGGGCUUCGCCUGCCAUCUCUGUGGGCAGAGCUUCCGAGGCUGGGUGGCCCUGGUUCUGCAUCUGCAGGCCCAUUCGGCUGCAAAGCGGCCCAUCGCUUGUCCCAAAUGCGAGAGACGCUUCUGGCGACGAAAGCAGCUUCGAGCUCAUCUGCGGCGGUGCCACCCUCCCGCCCCGGAGGCCCGGCCCUUCAUAUGUGGCAACUGUGGCCGGAGCUUCGCCCAGUGGGACCAGCUAGUUGCCCACAAGCGGGUGCACGUAGCCGAGGCGCUGGAGGAGGCUGCAGCCAAGGCUCUCGGGCCCCGGCCCAGGGGCCGCCCCGCGGUGACCGCCCCCCGACCCGGUGGAGAUGCUGUCGACCGCCCCUUCCAGUGUGCCUGCUGUGGCAAGCGCUUCCGGCACAAGCCCAACUUGAUCGCCCACCGCCGCGUGCACACGGGCGAGCGGCCCCACCAGUGCCCCGAGUGCGGGAAGCGCUUCACUAAUAAGCCCUACCUGACUUCGCACCGACGCAUCCACACCGGCGAGAAGCCCUACCCGUGCAAGGAGUGCGGCCGUCGCUUCCGGCACAAACCCAACCUGCUGUCUCACAGCAAGAUUCACAAGCGAUCCGAGGUGUCGGCCCAGGCCGCCCCCGGCCCGGGGAGUCCCCAGCGGCCAGCCGGCCCCCAGGAGUGCGCAGCCGAGUCCACCCCGGUGGCGCCGCUGAAACCCGCCCAGGAGGCGCCGCCGGCGGCCCCGCCAGAGCCCGCGCAGGACCGGGCCGAGGCGGCCCCGUCCCUCUACAGCUGUGACGACUGCGGCAGGAGCUUCCGGCUGGAGCGCUUCCUGCGGGCCCACCAGCGGCAGCACACCGGGGAGCGGCCCUUCGCCUGCGCCGAGUGCGGGAAGAACUUCGGCAAGAAGACGCACCUGGUGGCGCACUCGCGCGUGCACUCGGGCGAGCGGCCCUUCGCCUGCGAGGAGUGCGGCCGCCGCUUCUCCCAGGGCAGCCACCUGGCGGCGCACCGGCGCGACCACGCCCCCGACCGGCCCUUCGUGUGCCCCGACUGCGGCAAGGCCUUCCGCCACAAGCCCUACCUGGCGGCGCACCGGCGCAUCCACACCGGCGAGAAGCCUUAUGUCUGCCCCGACUGUGGCAAAGCCUUCAGCCAGAAGUCCAACCUGGUGUCGCACCGGCGAAUCCACACGGGCGAGCGGCCCUACGCCUGCCCCGACUGCGACCGCAGCUUCAGCCAGAAGUCCAACCUCAUCACCCACCGCAAAAGCCACAUCCGGGACGGCGCCUUCUGCUGUGCCAUCUGUGGCCAGACCUUCGACGAUGAGGAAAGGCUCCUGGCCCACCAGAAGAAGCACGAUGUCUGAGACGGUGGGCGGGGCCGGGAAGGCUGAGAGAGGCCUGGGGUUCCUCGUGGGGGAGUCACAGUGGGCUGGGGAUGCCUGCCUCGUGCUGGGUUAGGGUACAAUGGGAAUCCCAGAGGGGAUAGAAGAGGCGAGGAGUGAGCUGGGUGGGCCCUGUUAGCCAGAGAGGUCAAUCCUGGUAGCCAGGGAACCCACUUCCAAGUUCAGGGAUGCCGGCCUCCAUCUGGUGUGUGUGUGCGCUAAGGUUCCUUCCUGACUGCCCAGUGCCCUGGAAAAGUAGCAAUAGCAUCUGCCCCUUAGAGCCCUCUGGCUAGAGGAGCCCCCAGUGGAAAGGAAGACCCUCCAUCCUCUGGUGUUAACGCCUUAAUUUCCCUGUCUUUUACUGUAAGUUACUUCAGAUCAUUUUUGGAAGUAGGCGUGGUACAGUCCUGUAUAUGAAUGCUCUGGGCUACAUACCGCUUGGAGAACCUGCUGGCCUUGUUAGACAGCACUUGGGCCUUUGCCAGCAGCAAGAAGUGAAGCCAAGCCACUCUUACCUCUCCCAUCCCCUCCCUCCUGCCCCCUGUGUAGGCACUCAGACUUGGAGAGAACCAUCUGCUGUUAGCACUUCCAUCCUCUUCCUUCCCAAAGAGCAAACCCCCAAGGCAUUUCCUCCUUGGUCUGUCUUGCUAUAUCUGUCGCCCCUCCCAGCGCUGAGAGCCUCCCCUGGCUGUCUGUGGCGCUGUGUCCAGACUCAGGCUCGUGUCUGCACACCCCAGCCCCUCCACUCCUUCCAGAGCUCAGCAUGUUGUGGAAAGGACUGCCCCAUUGGUGGUGGAGGGUCAGCUGAAGGGAAGUUACCGAUGAAUUUCCUUUUCACCAUUUCUAGCAUAUGGACACCUGGGCUCUGCCUGAGCACUUAGGUCACAGGGACCUCCCCACCUCCUAAGGCCCUGGAUGAUUCUAAUUGUUAGACAUUCUAAUUGUUAGAAAUCCUUCCUGAUAAUGAAUGAAUUUCGCUUUCCUAUAAUUUCUACCUAUUGGGCCUUGUUCUGUUCUCUGGAACUAAACAGAACAACCAUUUACCCCUCUUUUCAAACUAGAGAAUAAAGAUUUGGUUUUAGAA